GACGAGGAGUGCCUUUGUUGUCAUCACUGCCUCCAUCAAAGCUACGUGACUCAUUUCCCAUGCCUAUUCUCUCUCUCUCUCUCUCUCUCUCUCUCUCUCUCUCUCUCUCUCUCUCUCUCUCUCUCUCUCUCUCUCUCUCUCUCUCUCUCUCUCCCCUCCCCCCUUUCUCUCGCUUUCUCUAUCUCUCUCUCCCGCUGCUUCCUUGGUUUAGUGUUGCCUGUGUUGUGCCCGAAAGCAGUGUUGUAGAUUUUAUUGCGCUGUGCCCGUAAUCAUUGAGUGACCGCCCUGUGCGUGUGUUGCCGCGUCAGGAAGGGAGUGUUGCGUCUCCAGGCACCUCCCGCCUCACGCCUUGCUUCCUCCCGUCUCCCAGAGUCUACACACCUGCACUCUUGAGGAGUUAGCAGCCAACGGCGUUAGGUUGCCAGGUGGACGAGUCGGGCCAAGUGGUGUCAACGUGAGGGCAGUGUAGCUGAUCGUGUGGAAAGUGCGGUGCCAACUCCACUGGUUCUAAUUACAAGUCUGACUGUAGUGCCAGACUGGAGCAACAAAUAUGCCCAUUGGAUCGAGAAUGUGUAGUGCACUGAUGUGGGUAAUGUGAACUGGAAAUAUAAAUAAGGAUUGAGACAAAAUGGUAUAUUAUGUUCCUUGUUACGUGGCACGUCUUCCUAUAAUCUCCGGCUACUCCUAGUUACGAGUAGAUGCCUGCCUUUCAGUGUGGUCAACGCCACGACACACCAGGUUUCCUUUAACAUUCUCUCUCUCUCUCUCUCUCUCUCUCUCUCUCUCUCUCUCUCUCUCUCUCUCUCUCUCUCUCUCUCUCU